UACGUAGGGGGGCAAGCGUUGUCCGGAAUCAUUGGGCGUAAAGCGCACGUAGGCGGCUUUCUAAGUCGGGGGUGAAAUCCUGGAGCUCAACUCCAGAACUGCCUUCGAUACUGGAGAGCUCGAGUCCGGGAGAGGUGAGUGGAACUGCGAGUGUAGAGGUGAAAUUCGUAGAUAUUCGCAAGAACACCAGUGGCGAAGGCGGCUCACUGGCCCGGUACUGACGCUGAGGUGCGAAAGCGUGGGGAGCAAACAGG
rnacentral:rRNA from 1 species